AUUGAACGCUGGCGGCAGGCCUAACACAUGCAAGUCGAGCGGAUGAAGGGAGCUUGCUCCUGGAUUCAGCGGCGGACGGGUGAGUAAUGCCUAGGAAUCUGCCUGGUAGUGGGGGAUAACGUCCGGAAACGGGCGCUAAUACCGCAUACGUCCUGAGGGAGAAAGUGGGGGAUCUUCGGACCUCACGCUAUCAGAUGAGCCUAGGUCGGAUUAGCUAGUUGGUGGGGUAAAGGCCUACCAAGGCGACGAUCCGUAACUGGUCUGAGAGGAUGAUCAGUCACACUGGAACUGAGACACGGUCCAGACUCCUACGGGAGGCAGCAGUGGGGAAUAUUGGACAAAAGGCGAAAGCCUGAUCCAGCCAUGCCGCGUGUGUGAAGAAGGUCUUCGGAUUGUAAAGCACUUUAAGUUGGGAGGAAGGGCAGUAAGUUAAUACCUUGCUGUUUUGACGUUACCAACAGAAUAAGCACCGGCUAACUUCGUG
rnacentral:rRNA from 1 species